AGUGAACGCUGGCGGUAGGCCUAACACAUGCAAGUCGAACGGCAGCACAGUAAGAGCUUGCUCUUACGGGUGGCGAGUGGCGGACGGGUGAGGAAUACAUCGGAAUCUACUUUUUCGUGGGGGAUAACGUAGGGAAACUUACGCUAAUACCGCAUACGACCUACGGGUGAAAGCAAGGGAUCUUCGGACCUUGCGCGAUUGAAUGAGCCGAUGUCGGAUUAGCUAGUUGGCGGGGUAAAGGCCCACCAAGGCGACGAUCCGUAGCUGGUCUGAGAGGAUGAUCAGCCACACUGGAACUGAGACACGGUCCAGACUCCUACGGGAGGCAGCAGUGGGGAAUAUUGGACAAUGGGCGCAAGCCUGAUCCAGCCAUACCGCGUGGGUGAAGAAGGCCUUCGGGUUGUAAAGCCCUUUUGUUGGGGAAGAAAAGCAGCAGGUUAAUACCCCGCUGUUCUGACGGUACCCAAAGAAUAAGCACCGGCUAACUUCGUG
rnacentral:rRNA from 1 species